rnacentral:lncRNA from 1 species
GUUUGAUUAAAUGAGAGACUAGUUGAUUUAUGUAGUUGUGCCAAAGGUAAGGUUGAUAAAAUUCCUCCAUCAAUGUUCAUGAAACACUUGGCUGACAAACUUGUUUUUAUGUAUGUGCCUGUCCCAAGUUGGGAGCCUGUAAUUAAGUGAUUGAGGUUUGUUUAAGUAUAACCUUUUUGUUUUUCAUUCUUUUUUUUGUACAUAAAUAAGGCUGUUAGUUUUCUUGUUUGAAUUCUUUUACAUUGUCAUUUUGGGGCCUUUUAUAGCCGACUAUGCGGUAUGGGCUUUGCUCAUUGUUGAAGGCCAUACGGUGACCUAUAGUUGUUAAUUUCUGUGUCAUUUUGAUCUCUUGCAGAGUGUUGUCUCAUUGGCAAUCAUACGACAUCUUCUUAUUUUAUAUUUAUAGUUCCAUUUUAAUGUUUAUGGUUAUCUAUGAUAUUAAUCUAUAUUCAUUGCAGAACUUUGUUGGUCUUGGUUUAUUGUUCACAACUUUUAUAGACUCCAUGCAAUUCCAACUGCUUUUAAGGACUUCAUACUUAUGAUCAAACAGUCUUUACUACACCAGUCCUGCAUCUGUAUGUGGGAGUUGACUGAUGCAUAUUUACAAGUGGGGGCAUCUGUGACCCAUAGAUACAUUCUACAUUUAUUUAAAAUACCUUCAUCAACUUCAUUGUAGUACUACAAUUUUUGAACAAUAACCAGAUUCCUGCCAGAAAACAAUGUUAAGAAUUGGCUUUGGAUCAUAUGUAACAUACUUAG